GAGCCGGGGCGUUCAAGUACGCCUUGACUGGGACCACGGCCCAUAGAGGGUGAUAGGCCCGUAAGACCCCUGGCUCGCUGCGCUGGCUCCUCCCUAGAGUCGAGUUGUUUGGGAGUACAGCUCAAAGUGCCUGGUACACUCCAGGUAAGGCUAAAUAUAACCCCGAGACCGAUAGCGAACAAGUACCGUGAGGGAAAGUUGAAAAGCACUUUGAAGAGAGAGUUCAAGAGUACGUGAAACUGUGUAGUAGUAAACGAAGGGGACCUCGAAGUCGGCGGCGACGGUUCAGGGUGAUGGCGGGGUGGCCUGGAGGCUUGGGAUCCGCAAGGACUCAGUCUUUUUGUUGGCCUCGUCAGCGCCUGCACUCCGUUGCCGCCUCACGCGACGAACCGUUGUUGGCGGAUCAAGGCCUUGGGUGAAGUUUGGCGGUUCUUCGGAGCUGCCAAGCCCCGGGUGCCUGACUCUGCCGGCGACGGGUAGUAGAGUGGCCUCGUAUAGCGAGUGACCUCGUUGUCACGGGCUGCAUCUCUGUCGCGAGUAGGUCGGCGGCCCCUCCGACCCGUCUUGAAACACGGAC
rnacentral:rRNA from 1 species